rnacentral:rRNA from 1 species
UCGGGAAUAUUGCGCAAUGGGCGAAAGCCUGACGCAGCCACGCCGCGUGAGCGAUGAAGGUCCUCGGAUCGUAAAGCUCUGUGGAGGGAGAAGAACAAAGCUAGUGAAGAGCUAGCCCUGACGGUAUCCCUUUAGCAAGCACCGGCUAACUCCGUGCCAGCAGCCGCGGUAAUACGGAGGGUGCAAACGUUGCUCGGAAUCAUUGGGCGUAAAGCGCACGUAGGUGGCCAUGCAAGUUGGAUGUGAAAGCCCUGGGCUCAACCCAGGAAGCGCACCCAAAACUGCAUGGCUUGAGUUCCGGAGGGGCCCAGAGAAUUCUCGGUGUAGAGGUGAAAUUCGUAGAUAUCGGGAGGAAUACCAGUGGCGAAGGCGCUGGGCUGGACGGAUACUGACGCUGAGGUGCGAAAGCGUGGGGAGCAAACAGGAUUAGAUACCCCCGUAGUCC